rnacentral:rRNA from 1 species
UACGAAGGGGGCUAGCGUUGCUCGGAAUGACUGGGCGUAAAGAGCUCGUAGGCGGCUUGUCGCGUCGGAUGUGAAAGCCCGGGGCUCAACCCCGGAACUGCCUUUGAAACUAGAUUGCUAGAAUCCUGGAGAGGUGAGUGGAAUUCCGAGUGUAGAGGUGAAAUUCGUAGAUAUUCGGAAGAACACCAGUGGCGAAGGCGACUCACUGGACAGGUAUUGACGCUGAGGUGCGAAAGCGUGGGGAGCAAACAGG